ACAGUGUGCAGGGCCUCUUCAAAGAAAGCUCCCUCCAUAUGGUGCUGCUGAGCUGCGAGCGGUCAACUUGCAACCCAAACUCCGAAGAGGAGGACUGUCUGGCCGCCCAUCGUGUGCUCACACAGCCUGCGGAGAGAGCCCGCCGCUUUCGGGGCAUCGCCGCCAUCCCCUAAUAUGGCAAAUGAAUGCGUGAGCGAAUACAAGGGGCAGAUUUCUACCCAGGAUCCUGGGCAAAAGUCAUCAGAAGGAGACGUGUGAUACCAGAGUUUAGUUAUGACGUGUUUACUUAGCAGUGAUCUGCUGAAGUCCAUCACAGCUGACUUUGGGGCAACAGGUGAGGUACAAAGCUGGCCUGGUUCCCAGAGGUAAACAUUCUUUCAUAAUAUUCAUUGUAUUUUGUUCAAUUGUAGCAUUUAGGGGCAGUACCGUAGAGUAGUCGUUAGCACAUCUGCCUUUCUGUACAUUAGAGAAGUUGAGUGGAGUUAGCGUGUUUUUUUUUCUUCCAUACUUGCCAUGUUUUUUUUUUUUUUCAGUUACUCCCUCCCACUUUCCAAAAACUGGCAUGGUAGGUUAAUUGAAGACUCUCAAAAGGUAUGACUACGAGUCUGGUGACCAGUUCACGGUGUAACCCGCCUCUCGGCCAAAGAGUGGCGGGAUAGGCUCCAACUCACCCACGACCCAAAUGAGGAGGAAAAUGCAUAGAUGUAUCUGUCAGUUGUUCAUGGUCCAAUAUCUGAAUGAAAGACAAAGAAGAUGUGCCAAAUCAUAAAUCUUAGCUAAGUAAUUUUGGUAAGCGAACAAGGUCAUUGUCAUUUUAAAUAGUGUUCAUGUCAACAUAGCUGUGCUUCGUUUGUAUUUUGAUCUUUGAAAUGUUAUUGUGUUUAUUCAUAUGUUUUUAUUGUGCUUCCAAUAGAGCAAAGUCCCAAAAUGCCUGAGCCGGUGGACACCAUGAACAGCUGCACCGUUGUCUUAUAAAGGCCAAAACUGUUUUUUUUUUUUAGUUGAAAAUGGUCCGGUAUAAAAGGCAACUGAGAUUCCAUAUGCUUUAACCUGGGUGGAAAUUCACCUUUGCUGAUUUGGCAGUGGCAGGCAGACGCACUCAAACGUUGGAUGUCUGCGUCAAGCAGGACGCGUGGAACCUAAUACGGUUGUUGAGCAUUGGCUCUGCCCACAAACGGCAGAGGGGUGGGGGAGUACAAAUGAGAUGGCCUGCGGUCCACAGAGGGAGAGCAGGGGGGGCUACAAUGAUCAGCAUCCCGCACACUAAGCACCACUCGUUCCAACCCACUCACGUGCACAAUCAUGUCAUCAUCAAGCAAGAACAUUUCCAUUUUUGAAAACAACAACAUACACACCACCAAAAAACAUGCAUUGCUAGGCAGUGUUGUACCUGGACGAGUUCAAUGAUCGAAAGUUCAUGACCUAAUUCAUAUUUUGUGCAAACCUGGACUGAACUUAGUUCAUUUGUGCCUGAGGAACAUAAUUGAGAACGCACUCAUUCUGCCGUCAAAAAACGGUUUCCGAACGAAAGGUCAAAUUCAUUCAAUAGUGCCAGGUUUUGCUAGGGACUUCCAGGACAAAACCCGUCUGAACACACUAGACACAAGCCUUCAUAUUCGGGGAUGAAAGCCCUGAAAAAUAUUUUGUCAAUAUAGUCAGCCAGUGAUGCAAGGAAUUCAACAUUAUCAAUGUCUUUUCACCGUUG